rnacentral:rRNA from 1 species
AUUGAACGCUGGCGGCAUGCCUUACACAUGCAAGUCGAACGGCAGCACGGGAGCUUGCUCCUGGUGGCGAGUGGCGAACGGGUGAGUAAUAUAUCGGAACGUACCCUAGAGUGGGGAUAACGCAGCGAAAGUUGCGCUAAUACCGCAUACGAUCUACGGAUGAAAGUGGGGGAUCGCAAGACCUCAUGCUCAUGGAGCGGCCGAUAUCUGAUUAGCUAGUUGGUGGGGUAAAGGCCUACCAAGGCUUCGAUCAGUAGCUGGUCUGAGAGGACGACCAGCCACACUGGAACUGAGACACGGUCCAGACUCCUACGGGAGGCAGCAGUGGGGAAUUUUUGGACAAUGGGCGAAAGACCUGAUCCAGCAAUGCCGCGUGAGUGAAGAA